rnacentral:misc_RNA from 1 species
GGGAAAUGUAGCGCUAUCUGUGCUAAUGACAGCAACAAGCACCUUUGCGUCCGUGGUAAUGACUCCUUUGUUAACAUCCCAGCUUGCUGGACAAUUUGUUGCUGUUGAUCCAGCAGGGCUUUUUAUGUCGACUGUACAGGUGGUGCUUGCUCCGGUUUUAGUAGGUGCCCUGCUGAACCAGUACUGCAAUGCUUUGGUAGGAUUAGUUUCCCCUGUGAUGCCGUUCAUCGCCGUUGCAACUGUCGCAAUUCUGUGUGGCAGUGCUAUUACUCAG